GAUGAAGAACGUAGCGAAAUGCGAUAAGUAAUGUGAAUUGCAGAAUUCAGUGAAUCAUCGAAUCUUUGAACGCACAUUGCGCCCUCUGGUAUUCCGGGGGGCAUGCCUGUUCGAGCGUCAUUACAACCCUCAAGCUUUGCUUGGUAUUGGACAUUGCCAGUUUCUGGCAGGUCUUAAAAUCAGUGGCGGUACCAUUUGGCUUCAAGCGUAGUAAUUCUUCUCGCUUUGGAGAUCCAGGUGGUUACUUGCCAAUAACCCCCAAUUUUUUCAGGUUGACCUCGGAUCAGGUAGGGAUACCCGCUGAACUUAAGCAUAUCAAAAGCGGAGGA
rnacentral:misc_RNA from 1 species